rnacentral:tRNA from 1 species
GCGAAGGUAGGAAAGCCCGGCCAAACCCGGCAGACUUAAGAUCUGCUCUCGCAGGAGUCCGUGGGUUCGAAUCCCACCCUUCGCA